CGCACCUUGCACCCUUUGGUAUUCCGAAGGGUAUGCCUGUUUGAGUGUCAUUAAAUUCUCAACCUUACACCUUUAUUGUGUGUAAGGCUUGGAUGUGAGGGUUAUUGCUGGCUUCCUUAAGUGUGACGGUCAGCUCCCUUGAAAUGCAUUAGUGGAAUCCUUUGUGGAUCGUCACUGAGUGUGAUAAUUAUUGUGCUCUUUCGACUCUGAAACAAUGUAAUAUGGAAUCUGCUUCUAACCGUCCUUCAGUUGGACAAUUUACUUGACAAUUUGGCCUCAAAUCAGGUAGGACUACCCGCUGAACUUAA
rnacentral:misc_RNA from 1 species